AAGAGUAAAGUACUUCCGCUUCCUUAGGUGGAGCUGGAAAGGUGGAGGCGGAAGUGACUGAUCAAUUCAGGGGCGUGGGGUUCGUUUAGGUUUUGCCCUGUGUAUGACCUCGUUUGGAGCCAUGAAACCAGGUCUGUGAAAUUUAGUGUCUAUUUUCUACCAUAACACAUGUUAAUUUGGACUAACCACAUUUCGAGUGCUCAGUAGCCACAUGUGGCUAGCGACUACUAUCUUGAGCAAUGCAACGAUAAGUCUGCACUUACGUUCAAAAAGACUUAAAGCAGGGAUCGACAACCCCCAGGCCACAGACUGGUAUGGAUCCAUGGCCUGUUAAGAACUGUGCCACACAGCAGGAGGUCACCAUGUGUGAUGACUACAUCCAAAGAGAGUGAGUGGCUUGAGACAUUGGUAGUAUGUGUAUCUGAUCAUAUCAAUAUGUUAAAAUGACGUUCAAAGUAUGAUCUACCUCAGAAUAAUCUAGCCUCAAGCUUUAUUCUAGGAAGAUACAAGGGACAGAAUAGUUAGCAGUGUUCCUGUUGAAAGGUCCAAGUAUCUCCCUAGGCACAGAAAACACCCAAAUGAGCAAAGCAGACCUUGGUGGCCAGAGGGGAGCCCUCAGGUAGAGCUGCAGAUGCUGGCAGUUUGUGUUAGAAGGUUCCGGGGCUAAACAGAUGCCUAGAAUUAGCCACCAAAAGGUAAAUUGUAGACUCCACUCUUCAAGAAGCAGCAGAAGGAUUAGGAAUUCAAACAGUGCUAUUUUACGGUCAUAAGAACAGACAGUAUUUUUUUGGCGCAGCAAGAACUUCUUAGGCCAUAAAGCAUGACAGACCUCUUUUCCUUAUGCGCUGAAUUGAAGAAGUGCUGACUCUUUUGCUGAUGGUGGCUUUUCUACAAUAUAAAGAUGGAAAUGGGAAGAAGAUGUUCAUUGCAAAUUAAGGAAGCUCUUCCACGAGUUCACGAAUGGAAAUAACAUCAAGAGUUUUUCAUCUUCUUAGUGUGCAAGGUAUGGAUAUUCUGUGUGUGAACUUCAAGAGUAUCUAAGGGAGGCAAUAACAUGGUUGAUAAUAUACCAGAGACUACAAACUGUCUGUGCAUCCCAGAGGAACAGGAAGCUUGUGCAGGUGAAAAGACUGGAGGAGGAAGUAUGUUGAUGAUACCCAGGAAGCCCACCUUCCACUUCUUUGGUCAUCAGAAAUAAAUAUCAAGGAGUGCAAUUCCUGGAUUUAUGAUGUCUGAGGAAUAGUCUUAGUGGAUUAUCCCAAACUUGACACAUUUUUUGCAAAAUGCUAUACAAAAAGAAGAUACAUGCGAUUAUGACAAGAUUCUCCACUUGGUGUGACCAGUCUCAUACAACCCAAGGCUGUGUGUCCAAAGGCAACUGUACUGAUCUUGACAAUAAUCAAAAGGUAGCCAGGUGCAUCGGGGAAAGCACUGACAUUGGAGUCAGACAGACUGAAGUUCAUAUCUGAUUCUGCUAUAUGACAACGUGUGGGCUAUGUGGCUAACUUCUCAGAGCUUCAGUUUUCUCAAGGGCAAAAUGAAAAUAAUAGAAAUAAUAGAAUCCACCUCACAGGGCUGUGGUGAGAAUUGGAGAUGAAGCACAUACAGCAUAUUACAUCAACUAAACACAUGCUAAAAAUUAAAGGGGAUGAAAGAUACAUUGGUCCCUGCAGUGGGAAGUUUCCUUGACAAUGCAAUUAUUGAUUCCAGAAGGCUGAACAAAUGUUGACAGAGGAACACACUGUUUGCUUAUGUCUAAUCUUCCCAUCUGACUUAUAUAAAUGUCACAAAUGAAUCUCAGACAUGUGCCCAAUAUCAAAUAUCCAUACGAUGGCCCUGGAAAGAGGCAAUCUACAUUUAUGGCUGAUGAGAAGAUGGAUUUUUAGCUUGAAAGAAACUUAUUACUGGGGAGAGGAAGUAUAAAUGAAUGGAGAGAGCUAUGAAGAGGUUGAGAGAAUACAGCCAAGGCACAUGACAGAAUUGCUCUGUUGAAGUUUUGCAAGGUCAAAUGACUCACUUUGUCUAAUGGAACGGGAACGAACAAUUUUUUUGUGUCACGUUUGAACAGAUACCUUUGAGAAGUUUAUGAUUCUCCAAGUUCUCUUUCUCCUACUGUGGCACCUACUGACAAGAUAAAUGUGUAGAGGUUCCUGAGUCUAGGGGCACUGGAACCAGCUGACUGAUCUAUGGAAGUUCCCUUGGUCUCCAUUUGUUUAGAAAAGGGAUGAAGAAACUGAGGCCCACAGAAGGUGGGUGAUACCUGCAAAAUCACAAGCUUUCAUGGUGAAAGAAGAGGGCAAAACUCAACCCGUCUCUUUAGACUUGGGAAGAAUAUGAAAGGACCAGGAGGGACACCUUUCCUAAUAACCUAGCUGAUGGUUCACUUAUUAGGCUGGAAAGCUGAAAAAUGACAUUCCCAGACUCCAUUGAAAUUAGAUUUCCAGAGGUGAUUUAUGUUCCACACAUCAGAUGUAUAUGCUCAAGAUUUGUUUAACAGGGAAGGAGGCAGUGGUGUGUGGGUCCCUUUUGCUCAUGUGAAUCUUACAGAGUUGUCUCACUAAGCCCAAAUUUGUCUAACUGGCCUUAUUUCCCUGGAGUAUAUCCUGGAAGUUUCCAUUCAAGCCAAUUUAAGUUACUUUAAAUUAGGAAAGGCAGAAAACAAAAGCCCAAACCUUUGUAAAGGAGGAGGAUUUGCUACAUUGUUCUCAAUUCAUCACAGAAGAGGAUGAAACUGAGUGAUUACACUUGCUGGAGAGAAAAAAAGUCCUUCCCCCGCUCACCCCAAAUAAAGCAUUAACUUUAUGUUAAUCCAUGAA
rnacentral:lncRNA from 1 species